CGGGUAGAGUUUCUACUUAAAUAAUUUCUGUCACCCAAAAAAAAGGGUAGAGUGUCCACUUAAAUAAUUUCUAUUGAAUGGUUAAAAUUUGAGCUUAAUGAUUAGCGACAGUUAAACUCGACAUCUGUGAUUAGUUCACAUGAUCAUUGAAGAAUAUGAUACUUAAGUUAGAGAGAAUAAUUAGAAGGACAAAAUGAACAUUUAUGUUUAUACCUAAUUAUCGAAUCUCAUAUGAGAAUAAAAUACAUAUACUGCGGGUCAGGGAAAAAAUAUUACAGAUUUAUUGACUUCUUUGAUCUUAUAUAUUCCAAGAGUUCAUUUUUUUGCAUUUAGUAAAAAAACAAAAACUAAUAAUUAGAUUGGAUGGUGUAAAGUCGACUUGACAGAAUCUAAUCAUUGGAGUUUAGAUAAUUUAUGUCCGAUCACUCCUGUGAUAGCUCUAUAAAAUAUUGUAAUUUAAUUACGGUAAUUAUAAUAGUUUUG
rnacentral:lncRNA from 1 species